rnacentral:rRNA from 1 species
UGGGGAAUAUUGGACAAUGGGGGCAACCCUGAUCCAGCAAUGCCGCGUGUGUGAAGAAGGUCUUCGGAUUGUAAAGCACUUUCGACGGGGACGAUGAUGACGGCACCCGUAGAAGAAGCCCCGGCUAACUUCGUGCCAGCAGCCGCGGUAAUACGAAGGGGGCUAGCGUUGCUCGGAAUGACUGGGCGUAAAGGGCGUGUAGGCGGUUUACACAGUCAGAUGUGAAAUCCCCGGGCUUAACCUGGGAGCUGCAUUUGAUACGUGUAGACUAGAGUGUGAGAGAGGGUUGUGGAAUUCCCAGUGUAGAGGUGAAAUU